UAAUGCACAUGUGUGUGGCUAUAACCGCUUUGAAAAGGGACGAAGAAAAAUAGUGUAGUGUGGCAUGUGCUACUGGCGUCUUCUUGCUUCCGCUGUCGUGAGUCACACCUGAAAGACAACGAUGACAACGAUGAUGUUUGUGUCAGCCCUGUUGCUGUUGCUGGUGGCCGCUGCUGCAGGUCAGCGAUCUGGGUGUUCGUACAGAGGUCGCUCCUUUGACAAUGGUGCACUCUUCCUUGGCUCAAACCGCUGUACCAAGUUUCAGUGCGACUACGGGCGAGUAA